rnacentral:rRNA from 1 species
UGGUGGGGUGGCUUGUCUGCUUAAUUGCGAUAACGAACGAGACCUUAACCUGCUAAAUAGCCCGCAUUGCUCCGGCAGUGCGCUGGCUUCUUAGAGGGACUUUCGGCUCAAGCCGAAGGAAGUUUGAGGCAAUAACA